GGUACCUACGGGGGGCAGCAGUGGGGAAUAUUGCACAAUGGGCGAAGGCCUGAUGCAGCAACGCCGCGUGAAGGAAGACGGUUUUCGGAUUGUAAACUUCUAUCAAUAGGGAAGAAAGAAAUGACGGUACCUAAAUAAGAAGCCCCGGCUAACUACGUGCCAGCAGCCGCGGUAAUACGUAGGGGGCAAGCGUUAUCCGGAAUUACUGGGUGUAAAGGGAGAGUAGGCGGCAAGGUAAGCGAUAUGUGAAAGCCUUAAGCUUAACUUAAGGAUGGCAUAACGAACUAUCUAGCUAGAGAACAGGG
rnacentral:rRNA from 1 species